GACGAACGCUGGCGGCGUGCUUAACACAUGCAAGUCGAACGGAAAGGCCCUGCUUGCAGGGUACUCGAGUGGCGAACGGGUGAGUAACACGUGGGUGAUCUGCCCUGCACUUCGGGAUAAGCCUGGGAAACUGGGUCUAAUACCGGAUAGGAGCCAUUUUUAGUGUGAUGGUUGGAAAGUUUUUUCGGUGUAGGAUGAGCUCGCGGCCUAUCAGCUUGUUGGUGGGGUAAUGGCCUACCAAGGCGGCGACGGGUAGCCGGCCUGAGAGGGUGGACGGCCACAUUGGGACUGAGAUACGGCCCAGACUCCUACGGGAGGCAUAAGUGGGGAAUAUUGCACAAUGGGCGCAAGCCUGAUGCAGCGACGCCGCGUGGGGGAUGACGGCCUUCGGGUUGUAAAAUCCUUUCGCUAGGGACGAAGCUUUUUGUGACGGUACCUAGAUAAGAAGCACCGGCUAACUACGUG
rnacentral:rRNA from 1 species